CCGCAGAGAGACGCAUUUUGCCGGAAAACGAAUCUGACAUGCCACCUCGAGAUUUUAACCAAGGAAAGACAAGUUGAUGUGCUUUGAUUUGAGGGGUCACUCCCUUCUGAACGAAAAUUAGGGACAUCGCUAUGAGAAGAAACGUUAACAUUGUCGCCUAUGGGAAAACAAUUAGUGGACUGUACCCAUAUUAGGAAGCCUAUAAGUUCGUGGUGAUUGGUACAGGAAAAACAUGAGGUCCAUGCAGAUGGUGUUUAAAACUAUUGGCCAGCAAAUGCACACCCAUUUGAAUACAUCUUGAAAAAGAACCAGCAAAAUGUGACAGUCGGCAAAAUAUAGGUUCCCGCAGAGAGACGCAUUUUGCCGGAAAACGAAUCUGACAUGCCACCUCGAGAUUUUAACCAAGGAAAGACAAGUUGAUGUGCUUUGAUUUGAGGGGUCACUCUCUACCGAACGAAAAUUAGGGACAUCGCUAUGAGAAGAAACGUUAACAUUGU